AACUUUUAAUAAUAAAUCUCUUAAUUCUAAUAUUAAUAAAGAAUGUAGCGAAAUAUAAUAAGUAAUAUGAAUUAUAGAAUUUAAUAAAUCAUUAAGUCUUUAAAUAUAUAUUAUACCUACUAGUAUUCUAGUAAGUAUACCUAUUUAAGUAUCA
rnacentral:rRNA from 1 species